UACGUAGGGGCCGAGCGUUGUCCGGAGUUACUGGGCGUAAAGCGCGCGCAGGCGGCUCGUCAAGCCUGACGUGAAAGCCCCCGGCUCAACCGGGGAGGGUCGUCGGGGACUGGCGGGCUUGAGGUUGGCAGGGGUUGGUGGAAUUCCCGGUGUAGUGGUGAAAUGCGUAGAGAUCGGGAGGAACACCCGUGGCGAAGGCGGCCAACCGGGCCGGACCUGACGCUGAGGCGCGAAGGCGUGGGGAGCGAACGGG
rnacentral:rRNA from 1 species